rnacentral:rRNA from 1 species
AUGGCUCCCGCGGCAGUCGUUGGUGAAGCAAGUGGUAAGAUAACGACGACGGGUGAAGUUUCAGAAGAAAAAAAAAGACGACGGGUGGCACUGAGCAGCGUAGGGGCGAUGUCACUGAGGACGGCCAUGAAGCCGGAGGCGUGGACCACGACCGGCGAGGAGGGUGAAGAGCAGUGGGAUCAAUACGAGCGUGAGGUGUUGGAGUUUGAGGAGGAAGCAUGGAAGACCUCCGCAAAAGGCGGGGAAUCUAGCACGGUCAAGCUGGCGGGUGAGGAGAGCUUCGGCGAGCACGAUCCAGCCGGCGCAGUCAUUAUCAACGAUGUACCAGCCUUCUUGAUAGCGUUGGCGGCGCUGAAAAGCUGGAGGAAUCAGAUACAGAGGAGAUGA